UUAUUUUUUCACCAGAAAAAUCACACUUUAAAAUUAAUAUUUUUUAAAAUAUAACUGAAAAACUAAUAAUAUAUAUAAUUCAGUAUUUUAUAAAAGUCUUAUAUUUAAAAAGAAAUAACUUUUUUGAAAAUAUUUUAUAAGUAAAGACAUAGAAAGUUUUUUUGUUGAAUUUUUAAAAUUAAUAUGGUUUGCGUUUGAUUAUGCUGUAUAAAC
rnacentral:lncRNA from 1 species